ACAAAGGAUUCCAUCUAGAAUCCACAUACAUGAAAAAAAAAUAGAUCU
rfam:Picea glauca, whole genome shotgun sequence.